rnacentral:tRNA from 2 species
GGACAGGAUGUCCGAAUUCUUCUCGUUAAAUACAGGAUUGAAAAUCCUGGUGUCACGGGUUCGAUUCCCGUCCUGUCCA